GCCCCUGAAGCAUUGUGGUGAUGCAGCGGUUUUGUAAACCGCAGAGCCUGGUUCGAUUCCGGGUGGGGGCACCA
rnacentral:tRNA from 1 species